UGGAGUUUGCACGUUCUCCCUGUGGCCAUGUGUGCUGCCUCCAAGUGUUCCGGUUUUCUCCCACAUCUCAAAGACAUGCUGGUUUGUAAGUUAACUAGCCUCUGUAAAUCACCCUUAGCGUGUAAGGAGUGGAUGAGAAAGUGGGAG